GGCUGGGCAAGACCGGUGCCAGCCGCCGCGGUAAUACCGGCAGCCCGAGUGAUGGCCGAUCUUAUUGGGCCUAAAGCGUCCGUAGCUGGCCGCACAAGUCUAUCGGAAAAUCCACCCGCUCCAACGGGUGGGCGUCCGGUAGAAACUGUGUGGCUUGGGACCGGAAGGCGCGACGGGUACGUCCGGGGUAGGAGUGAAAUCCCGUAAUCCUGGACGGACCGCCGAUGGCGAAAGCACGUCGCGAAGACGGAUCCGACAGUGAGGGACGAAAGCUAGGGUCUCGAACCGGAUUAGAUACCCGGGUAGUCCUAGCCGUAAACAAUGCCUGCUAGGUGUGGCUCCCACUACGAGUGGGUGCUGUGCCGUAGGGAAGCCGCUAAGCAGGCCGCCUGGGAAGUACGUCCGCAAGGAUGAAACUUAAAGGAAUUGGCGGGGGAGCACUACAACCGGAGGAGCCUGCGGUUUAAUUGGACUCAACGCCGGACAUCUCACCAGCAUCGACUGUAAUAAUGACGAUCAGGUUGAUGACCUUAUCCGAGUUUCAGAGAGGAGGUGCAUGGCCGCCGUCAGCUCGUACCGUGAGGCGUCCUGUUAAGUCAGGCAACGAGCGAGACCCGCAUCCUUACUUGCCAGCAGCACUGCGAAGUGGCUGGGGACAGUAGGGAGACCGCCGUGGCCAACACGGAGGAAGGAACGGGCAACGGUAGGUCAGUAUGCCCCGAAUGUGCUGGGCAACACGCGGGCUACAAUGGUCGAGACAAAGGGUUCCUACUCCGAAAGGAGACGGUAAUCUCAGAAACUCGAUCGUAGUUCGGAUUGUGGGCUGCAACUCGCCCACAUGAAGCUGGAUUCGGUAGUAAUCGCGUGUCAUAAGCGCGCGGUGAAUACGUCCCUGCUCCUUGCACACACCGCCCGUCAAAGCACCCGAGUGAGGUCCGGAU
rnacentral:rRNA from 1 species